rnacentral:rRNA from 1 species
GAUGAACGCUGGCGGCGUGCCUAAUACAUGCAAGUCGAGCGAACGGACGAGAAGCUUGCUUUUCUGAUGUUAGCGGCGGACGGGUGAGUAACACGUGGAUAACCUACCUAUAAGACUGGGAUAACUUCGGGAAACCGGAGCUAAUACCGGAUAAUAUUUUGAACCGCAUGGUUCAAAAGUGAAAGACGGUCUUGCUGUCACUUAUAGAUGGAUCCGCGCUGCAUUAGCUAGUUGGUAAGGUAACGGCUUACCAAGGCAACGAUGCAUAGCCGACCUGAGAGGGGGAUAGGCCACACUGGAACUGAGACACGGUCCAGACUCCUACGGGAGGCAGCAGUAGGGAAUCUUCGGCAAUGGGCGAAAGCAUGACGGAGCAACGCCGAGUGAGUGAUGAAGGUCUUCGGAUCGUAAAACUCUGUUAUUAGGGAAGAACAUAUGUGUAAGUAACUGUGCACAUCUUGACGGUAACUAAUCAGAAAGCCACGGCUAACUACGUG